GAUGAACGCUGGCGGCGUGCCUAAUACAUGCAGGUCGAGCGAACGGACGAGAAGCUUGCUUCUCUGAUGUUAGCGGCGGACGGGUGAGUAACACGUGGAUAACCUACCUAUAAGACUGGGAUAACUUCGGGAAACCGGAGCUAAUACCGGAUGAUAUUUUGAACCGCAUGGUUCAAAAGUGAAAGACGGUCUUGCUGUCACUUAUAGAUGGAUCCGCGCUGCAUUAGCUAGUUGGUAAGGUAACGGCUUACCAAGGCAACGAUGCAUAGCCGACCUGAGAGGGUGAUCGGCCACACUAGAACUGAGACACGGUCCAGACUCCUACGGGAGGCAGCAGUAGGGAAUCUUCCGCAGUGGGCGAAAGCCUGACGGAGCGACGCCGCGUGAGUGAUGAAGGUCUUCGGAUCGUAAAACUCUGUUAUUAGGGAAGAACAUAUGUGUAAGUAACUGUGCACAUCUUGACGGUACCUAAUCAGAAAGCCACGGCUAACUACGUG
rnacentral:rRNA from 1 species